rnacentral:rRNA from 1 species
GUCGAGAAUCUUUCACAAUGGGGGCAACCCUGAUGGAGCGACGCCGCGUGGAGGAUAAGGUCUUCGGAUUGUAAACUCCUGUCAUGCGUGAACAAGGUUGCUUGGUUAAUACCUGGGCAAAUUGAUGGUAACGCAAGAGGAAGAGACGGCUAACUCUGUGCCAGCAGCCGCGGUAAUACAGAGGUCUCAAGCGUUGUUCGGAAUCACUGGGCGUAAAGGGUGCGUAGGUGGCGUGGUAAGUCAGAUGUGAAAGCCCGGGGCUCAACCUCGGAACUGCAUCAGAUACUGCCAUGCUAGAGUACUGGAGAGGUGACUAGAAUUCUCGGUGUAGCAGUGAAAUGCGUAGAUAUCGAGAGGAAUACCAAAGGCGUAGGCAGGUCACUGGACAGUUACUGACACUGAGGCACGAAGGCCAGGGGAGCGAACGGGAUUAGAAACCCGAGUAGUCC